rnacentral:misc_RNA from 1 species
GAAAUGCGAUAACUAGUGUGAAUUGCAGAAUUCCGUGAAUCAUCGAGUCUUUGAACGCACAUUGCGCCCCCUGGUAUUCCGGGGGGCAUGCCUGUCCGAGCGUCAUUGCUGCCCAUCAAGCACGGCUUGUGUGUUGGGGCGUCGUCCCCUCUCCGGGGGGGACGGGCCCCAAAGGCAGCGGCGGCACCGCGUCCGAUCCUCGAGCGUAUGGGGCUUUGUCACCCGCUCUGUAGGCCCGGCCGGCGCUUGCCGAACGCAAAUCAAUCUUUUUCCAGGUUGACCUCGGAUCAGGUAGGGAUACCCGCUGAACUUAAGC